GCCUUCGUGGUGUAGUGGUGAGUACGCUCGACCCGUAACUGAGAGGUCCGUAGUUCGAUUCCCGGCGAAGGCG
rfam:Stegodyphus mimosarum contig39451, whole genome shotgun sequence.